rnacentral:rRNA from 1 species
CCUACGGGAGGCUGCAGUGAGGAAUAUUGGUCAAUGGGCGAGAGCCUGAACCAGCCAAGUAGCGUGCAGGAUGACGGCCCUAUGGGUUGUAAACUGCUUUUAUGCGGGGAUAAAGUGCUCCACGUGUGGGGCAUUGCAGGUACCGCACGAAUAAGGACCGGCUAAUUCCGUGCCAGCAGCCGCGGUAAUACGGAAGGUCCAGGCGUUAUCCGGAUUUAUUGGGUUUAAAGGGAGCGUAGGCCGAUGGCCAAGCGUGUUGUGAAAUGUGGACGCUCAACGUCCGACUUGCAGCGCGAACUGGCCGUCUUGAGUGCGCGCAACGUUGGCGGAAUUCGUCGUGUAGCGGUGAAAUGCUUAGAUAUGACGAAGAACUCCGAUUGCGAAGGCAGCUGACGGGAGCGCAACUGACGCUGAAGCUCGAAGGUGCGGGUAUCGAACAGGAUUAGAUACCCCGGUAGUC